rnacentral:tRNA from 1 species
GGAGCUGUAGCUCAGUGGCAGAGCGCUUGCCAAGCAUGCGUGAGGCAUUGGGUUCGAUCCUCAGCACCA